CCUAUGGGUGGCUGCAGUGGGGAAUAUUGGACAAUGGGCGAAAGCCUGAUCCAGCCAUGCCGCGUGUGUGAAGAAGGCCUUCGGGUUGUAAAGCACUUUCAGUGGGGAAGAAAGCCUUGGGGCUAAUACCCUCGAGGAAGGACAUCACCCACAGAAGAAGCACCGGCUAACUCCGUGCCAGCAGCCGCGGUAAUACGGAGGGUGCGAGCGUUAAUCGGAAUUACUGGGCGUAAAGCGCGCGUAGGCGGUCUGAUAAGCCGGUUGUGAAAGCCCCGGGCUCAACCUGGGAACGGCAUCCGGAACUGUCAGGCUAGAGUGCAGGAGAGGAAGGUAGAAUUCCCGGUGUAGCGGUGAAAUGCGUAGAGAUCGGGAGGAAUACCAGUGGCGAAGGCGGCCUUCUGGACUGACACUGACGCUGAGGUGCGAAAGCGUGGGUAGCAAACAGGAUUAGAUACCCGGGUAGUC
rnacentral:rRNA from 1 species